AUACGAAGGGGGCUAGCGUUGUUCGGAAUCACUGGGCGUAAAGCGCACGUAGGUGGAUCAAUUAGUUGAGGGUGAAAUCCCGGGGCUCAACCUCGGAACUGCCUUCAAUACUGUUGAUCUUGAGUCCGCGAGAGGUGAGUGGAAUUCCUAGUGUAGAGGUGAAAUUCGUAGAUAUUAGGAAGAACACCAGUGGCGAAGGCGGCUCACUGGCUCGGUACUGACGCUGAGGUGCGAAAGCGUGGGGAGCAAACAGCAUUAGAAACCCCUGUAGUCC
rnacentral:rRNA from 1 species